UACACACCGCCCGUCAAACGAUGAAAGCUGUUUGCACCUGAAGUCCUUUUAGCUAACUCGUAAGAGAGGCGUAGGCCCAAGGUGCGGGUAGUGAUUGUGGUU
rnacentral:rRNA from 1 species